CGUUUCCUUGCUGGAGAGAGGCCGCCGCACCCGACACGGUGCACCGGCCCACCGAAGGAGCAAACCCCGAUCGUGGGGCGAAUCUCUCAGGUAAAGCGGACAGCAGGGGUGGC
rnacentral:ncRNA from 1 species